rnacentral:rRNA from 1 species
AAGAUGUAACGGGGCUAAACCAUGCACCGAAGCUGCGGCAGCGAACGUAUCACUUAAAGCGAUUCAGCGGGUUACGAUUGACGGAGCGAAGCGACGUCAAAGCGUAUACAAAGUCGAGUCGGUUUAAGGAUACGUUCGUUGGGUAGGGGAGCGUUCUGUAAGCCUGCGAAGGUGGCCUGUGAGGGUUGCUGGAGGUAUCAGAAGUGCGAAUGCUGACAUAAGUAACGAUAAAGCGGGUGAAAAGCCCGCUCGCCGGAAGACCAAGGGUUCCUGUCCAACGUUAAUCGGGGCAGGGUGAGUCGACCCCUAAGGCGAGGCCGAAAGGCGUAGUCGAUGGGAAACGGGUUAAUAUUCCCGUACUUGGUGUUACUGCGAAGGGGGGACGGAGAAGGCUAUGUUGGCCGGGCGACGGUUGUCCCGGUUUAAGCGUGUAGGCUGGUUUUCCAGGCAAAUCCGGAAAAUCAAGGCUGAGGCGUGACGACGAGGCACUACGGUGCUGAAGCAACAAAUGCCCUGCUUCCAGGAAAAGCCUCUAAGCAUCAGGUAACACGAAAUCGUACCCCAAACCGACACAGGUGGUCAGGUAGAGAAUACCAAGGCGCUUGAGAGAACUCGGGUGAAGGAACUAGGCAAAAUGGUGCCGUAACUUCGGGAGAAGGCACGCUGACACGUAGGUGAAGUGAUUUACUCAUGGAGCUGAAGUCAGUCGAAGAUACCAGCUGGCUGCAACUGUUUAUUAAAAACACAGCACUGUGCAAACACGAAAGUGGACGUAUACGGUGUGACGCCUGCCCGGUGCCGGAAGGUUAAUUGAUGGGGUCAGCGCAAGCGAAGCUCCUGAUCGAAGCCCCGGUAAACGGCGGCCGUAACUAUAACGGUCCUAAGGUAGCGAAAUUCCUUGUCGGGUAAGUUCCGACCUGCACGAAUGGCGUAAUGAUGGCCAGGCUGUCUCCACCCGAGACUCAGUGAAAUUGAACUCGCUGUGAAGAUGCAGUGUACCCGCGGCAAGACGGAAAGACCCCGUGAACCUUUACUAUAGCUUGACACUGAACAUUGAGCCUUGAUGUGUAGGAUAGGUGGGAGGCUUUGAAGCGUGGACGCCAGUCUGCGUGGAGCCGACCUUGAAAUACCACCCUUUAAUGUUUGAUGUUCUAACGUGGACCCGUUA